AGAGUUUGAUCCUGGCUCAGGAUGAACGCUAGCUACAGGCUUAACACAUGCAAGUCGAGGGGCAGCAUCGCGAUAGCUUGCUAUUGCGGAUGGCGACCGGCGCACGGGUGAGUAACGCGUAUCCAACCUUCCCGCAACUGGGGAAUAACCUUGCGAAAGUAAGACUAAUACCCCAUGGUCUCCAUAGAAGACAUCUGAAAUGGAGUAAAGGUUUCGGCCGGUUGCGGAUGGGGAUGCGUCCGAUUAGCUUGACGGCGGGGUAACGGCCCACCGUGGCAUCGAUCGGUAGGGGUUCUGAGAGGAAGGUCCCCCACAUUGGAACUGAGACACGGUCCAAACUCCUACGGGAGGCAGCAGUGAGGAAUAUUGGUCAAUGGGCGGGAGCCUGAACCAGCCAAGUAGCGUGAAGGACGACGGCCCUACGGGUUGUAAACUUCUUUUAUAAGGGAAUAAAGUUCGCCACGUGUGGUGUUUUGUAUGUACCUUAUGAAUAAGCAUCGGCUAAUUCCGUGCCAGCAGCCGCGGUAAUACGGAAGAUGCGAGCGUUAUCCGGAUUUAUUGGGUUUAAAGGGAGCGUAGGCGGGCUUUUAAGUCAGCGGUCAAAUGUCGUGGCUCAACCAUGUCAAGCCGUUGAAACUGUAAGCCUUGAGUCUGCACAGGGCACAUGGAAUUCGUGGUGUAGCGGUGAAAUGCUUAGAUAUCACGAAGAACUCCGAUCGCGAAGGCAUUGUGCCGGGGCAGCACUGACGCUGAGGCUCGAAAGUGCGGGUAUCAAACAGGAUUAGAUACCCUGGUAGUCCGCACAGUAAACGAUGAAUACUCGCGGUUUGCGAUACAUUGUAAGCCGCCAAGCGAAAGCGUUAAGUAUUCCACCUGGGGAGUACGCCGGCAACGGUGAAACUCAAAGGAAUUGACGGGGGCCC
rnacentral:rRNA from 1 species